GCUGGCGGAGCCGGAAGACCGCCGCCUAACGUGGUCCUCGUCCAGGUGCGAAGGCGAGACCUACUUCGACUCAUAAUCGGGCGGCCGCGGGUUCGAGUCCCGUCACCGGCU
rnacentral:tRNA from 1 species